ensembl:lncRNA
GGAGGUCGUCAUGCCUUGACCUGCUCAGGGACCCAAUUCUCGGGAGGCUGUCACGCCUCGACCUGCCCGGGGAUUUGAUCUCCAGAAGGCUGUCACGCCUCAGCCUGCCUGGGGAUCUGCACCCUGACCCGGGGACGCCUGGCUCUAAGGUUGCAACAGUUCUGGGUAGGAUAAGCUUCAGAAAGACUCACCCCUAAGGAAGUCCACCCAUGGAAACAUAAAGAAGCCUAUUACUUGUGGGACUGUGCCCAGUCUCAACAAUAACUCAGGAGCCCAAUGAGAACCCCAUUGCCUUUCUGGAAAGGCUAAAAGAGGCCCUCCAAAAGUUUACUAAUCUGGACUUAGACUCUUAAGAGGGACAGGUGAUUUUAAAGGACAAAGUCCUGUCCCAAUGUGCAUCAGCUAUCAGAAUUAAGUUACAACAGCAGCAGGACUCUGCUGCCUCUUUAUAUGAGAUGAUCCAGACAGCCACCAAUACCUUUUAAACAGAACAGGAGAAGGAGGCUAAGGCCCAGGAGAAGGAGAGAAGGAAAGAGACAAGGCAUGCCCAGAUGCUGGCCGCCCUCCAGAGAAGCCCUAUGGCAAACCCUGAGUCCUUGAAGGACAAGGCACGAGGCAAAUGCCUAAUCUGUAGACAGGCGGGGCAUUGGGCCAAAGAGUGUCCAAACUGUGACAAGUCUCCUAGAAAUGUCACAAAUGUCAUCAACUGGGACAUUGGGCGGCACUCUGCCCUGGGGACUCAAGAGCCUCAAGGUCAAGCACCAAGCCUACCCUCAUGAUGGUUCAAGAGGACUGAAGCGGCCCGCUCCAGCCAGCCCGCCUGUCACAGAUAACCAUCAUGGGGCUGGAGCCAAGGGUGCAACUGGAUGUGGCAGGAACAUGGAGCUGGUCAUACCCAAAUUAAACCAGUCAAGACCAUGGAUUGGGUGACUGUUCAAUAGAUGACCAUUUGACAUCAGAGGGCCAAAAACUUCACCCUCAGAUCAUGUUAAUGACACCAUUUUCUGAACAUACAUCCCAUGAAGAAGCAUGUAACCCAGAUACAUCUGUGCAGAACCCCAAUUACUUUAAGUUUUUCUUCAGUCAUCUUUCCCCACACCUCAGACCACCCUGCUUCCUUAUCCCACGAGUAUCUUGAGGCCCUCACCUUCAUGAAAUUGGAUUAAAGACUUGUUCUCUUGUCUCCGUGCUUGGCUGCCUUGUGUAUAAAGCCUUUCUCUGCUGCAUACCUUGGCGUCUCAGGAUUUGGCUUGAUGUGAGUCAGGCAAAUGAACCUGGUAUGGUUCAUAAUAUAAGGGAUGGAAAUAUCAGCUAGGAUUAGAAUCAGAUGCAUGUAACAGAAGCUGAAACAACAGUGGCUUAAAUAAGAAGUUUGUUACAUUGUUCAAGAAGUCUGGAUUAGUAUGACAGCUUCAGCAGAUCACCAGUACUCUAGUC